AGAAGUAACUACGGUUUUUGCA
rnacentral:miRNA from 1 species